CAAUCCUUAGAAAGCAUACCUAGAUUCAAAGCCCACUCUUUCCUUCAGCUUCCACCGCUGUCUUAUGCGGCAAAUAACCACCUAGGGAGUAGAAGUUUCUUAUUGUUUUCGGUCUUUUUUUCGCCUAGUUGUCUCUAUUUCGAUUGCAUUCUAUCAAAGGCAGAAGGGAGCUUGACUGCAAGACUCACCCGUCGAGCAGAGACGAAAGUCGGCCUUAGUGAUCCGACGGUGCCGAGUGGAAGGGCCGUCGCUCAACGGAUAAAAGUUACUCUAGGGAUAACAGGCUGAU
rnacentral:ncRNA from 1 species